rnacentral:rRNA from 1 species
AUGAUGGAUUUUGAUGUUAUAAUAUUAUUAGUUUACUGCAGUCUCGGCAAAUUGAUUUUUGUUGAUAGAUAUGGUGGAACAGGAAAGAUGUUUCUGUGGAAAGCAUUUACGACAAAACUAAGGUCCGAAGGAAAGAUACUUCUAGCAGUAGCUUCAAGUGGUAUAGCAGCACCUCUUUUACAGGGUGGAAGCACAGCUCAUUCAAGAUUCCACAUUCCACUCAAGAUCACUAACGAGUACACAUGCGACAUCAAGCUAGGAACAUUUCUUGCGGAACUAAUAACGAGAACUUCGUUGAUAAUAUGGGAUGAAGCACCUAUGACACACAAGCACUGA